rnacentral:lncRNA from 1 species
CAAAACUUUAACCUGAAGCGGGACAGACGAACGAAUGGACGGACGCACAGACCAGAUACAUAAUGCCCAUAUAUGGGGCAUAAUAAGAUUAUCAUACUCAUAAUAAACAUCUAUUUCAGGUUUUAACAUGUGAAAAUAUGAGCUAGUUGCUACUGGAAGUACUUAAUAUGUCAGUUACAUGCAAAACGUUACAAUAUCAUGAUGAACG